CCUACGGGAGGCAGCAGUGAGGAAUAUUGGUCAAUGGACGAGAGUCUGAACCAGCCAAGUAGCGUGAAGGAUGACUGCCCUAUGGGUUGUAAACUUCUUUUAUAAAGGAAUAAAACGAGGCACGUGUGCCGUUUUGUAGGUACUGUAUGAAUAAGGACCGGCUAAUUCCGUGCCAGCAGCCGCGGUAAUACGGAAGAUCCGAGCGUUAUCCGGAUUUAUUGGGUUUAAAGGGAGCGUAGGUGGGUUGUUAAGCCUGCUGUGAAAUUUUGUGGCUCAACCGUAAAAUUGCAGUUGGAACUGGCAUUCUUGAGUACGCUGAAGGUAGGCGGAAUUCGUGGUGUAGCGGUGAAAUGCUUAGAUAUCACGAAGAACUCCGAUUGCGAAGGCAGCUUACUAAAGUGCUACUGACACUGAUGCUCGAAGGUGUGGGUAUCAAACAGGAUUAGAUACCCGAGUAGUC
rnacentral:rRNA from 1 species